UCUUCCUGGAUUGCAGCUUUCGGUGGUCUAUAAGCACCAGGAUAAGGACCUUCGAGAUGUCGGAUGUCGAGAGAGUUGUUAAUUGAGAGGCGAGCAUCCUUGAUUCGGUACAGUGGUGGUAAAUCAGAUGCGACGCUCAAUUCAUGAUAAGCUUCGUCACUCACAGCAAACCUGUCAAGUACAUAAAGAGCUUGCUGUACCCUCGCAGAAUCGUUUGGUGAAAGAGCUGGCGUUUGAUGUUGUGGCUUGUGAGAUGGGCUAGAUAAAAAAUUGAAUUUGAUGGGAGAUCCUGUCUGUUUGCGUAGCUCUAAAGAUUCUGGCUGAAGACCGAAUGAUUCACAAAACCAAAGCGCUUGCUCUGCAGAGCUCUUACAGUGUGGUAGCUUUCGUUUUACCUGUCGUGGUGAUACCUCGUGAACUUUUUUGCCUUUGUUGAUGUGUGCUGUGGUAGGUCUACUUGUUUCGGGGAUUGUUGUUGGCUGUGGAGAUUCAGUGGAUAGUUGCUGCUCAAUUUCAGAAUACGAUUCUGCUUCUCCAUCAAGCACGAAGAGGUUGUAUUCUCCAGCAAGUACGGCAUACCUCCUUCUUCCUUUUAGCCCCCGUAUCCUUCUUGCUACCUUGCUAGCUUGUUCUGCAAGCCUUUUCUCCAGACGAUCGCUUUGUGCUAGUUUAACUAUUGUUACCAUGCUAUUAACUAAGCUAAUGAAUGUCUCUUCUGCCUUCUUGUUCAUGUACCAAUGAUGCAGCAACUCGAUAGGAAUAGAGAGAGAGAAGUUUGGCUGUACUUGUGGUUCUGUGUGGCUGAAGUCAGAGUACUUCUUUGCUGAAUUUGAGAUGGUGAUGGACAGGCUCUCUGCUCUUCUGGACUGCUUGUUUACUGCCAUAGCUAGGAGGCCCGGGAUAAUGGAACAAAAGGUCCCUUGAGCUGUUAUGUAACAAAAUUAAUUAGCCAUGUCAAUAUGAGUGGGCGGGUGAAUAGGCUGCGGUGUUAUCACCCACUAAAUUAACCACAGUACUCAUUCAAUAGCAUGAUAACACUUCUCAGAUGCAUUAUGGCGGGUAUUUUGCGACCUCUGGUUCUCUUAGACUUAUUACAAAAUGGCUGACCAGACAUUCUCAAGAUCCAAGCUCAAGAGGCUCAAUCGAAAAGCUAGAGUUGACAAAAUUGGCAAGCAGCUGUGUAUGGAGAAGAAGAGCCUUGAAUGUGCCGAGAAAAAUGUUCAGAAUUGGAAGAAGAAGGCAAUAGAUUAUAAACUGGAACUCAACGUGUAUCGAGCUAAGCAAUUACGGACAGGAACUCUGGGAACAUCCUGCAGUCACCAACGACCACUAAAGUUACUAACAGCAGCCAUGAAGACGAGUGCAAUCAGUCUACCCAAGGCAACUCCAAGAAUGUGUACGAAUGCUGAUAUUAUGCGAGGAGUUACUGUAGUUCCAGAGAUAAGUGAGAAAUGUUUAGCAGAUGGGGGUGGUGAUGUUCAUAUAGGAAAUGGUCGGUUUGGAACAUGCUCUCGUAUGAUUUUUAAAGAGUGUUUUGACGUCUGUGUCAAAACAUUUACUUCCGACUCCUCAAUCGAAUCGAUUAGGCAUGAAGCCAGUAUAUUACUUACAUUAAAUUCCAGCCCUUAUAUACCACACUGUUUUGGUAUUUGUUCCACCAGGAGAGCUUUAGUAAUGUCUAAUGUAAGCGUGAAGCAGCAACAAGUUUCAUUAUAAUUAUUCUGCCUUGUAUUCGACUAACGAAAUUAAAUUAAGCCCUAAGACAUGGAUGCAAAUACUGAUCCAAAUUUGUGAUGGUCUAUCAUACAUGCACAAGCUGAGUAUUCUUCACAAUGAUCUUAAAGUAGACAACGUAGUAUUAGGGACUACUUUGUUAGAAUGUAUCCGGCCAUGUAUUGUGGAUUUUGGAAAGGCAUGUAAAGAAAAGCAUGCUAAGAAGUACUGCCUGACCGAGGAACAGAAAGUUAUUUACAUAAAAGAACACACUCAAGUAGCUCCAGACCUCCGCGAUGGGCUUGUUUUACAGAGCACACAGAGCGAUAUAUACUCAUUAGGUAGAAUAAUGAAGAAGAUGAACUCCAUUGUAAUUAAGUCAACUGAACUUGCCCAUGUAAUUAAGGAAUGUCUUUCUUAUCAUGCUCAUGACCGUCCUAGCUUAGAAACCAUUUCUCUUAAUGUUGAAUGACUAUGUGACUAAUUAUGUCUUACAUUCAUUCGUUCAUGUUUAAAUCUGGUGCUAGCUUUAACUAUGACAUAGUCUAUGUAUAAUUGUAGGCAAAUCCGUGCUCUCUAAUGGAAGGCUGACAAGGUUAGCUGUAAGUCGGGAUGCGUGUUGACCCAGCCAUUUGUUUGAGAGUCAUUAAAAGCAUUAUGGUAGAGAAUUGGCCUGAAGCAGUUAGUUAUGAGUCACAUAGUGCGUAUUGGCUGCUCAGGUUGGGCCAUGCAUGCAUUAACAAUUAACAAUUAACAAUGAUCAACAACGUUUUUUCACCAGAUUUACACAUACAAUUUCAGAUAGUAGUCUAGGUGACUCUAACAUUUCACCAUUGCUAUUUCUAUAUGUUUUCGGUCCAUACUUAAUUCUAGGACAUACUACAAUAGGAAAAUCUACUGUGCAGCCAUUGCCAUAUCUAUCAUACAAAAUAUACCAACUACCUAUAAAAUAUUCAUCGUUAAAAUCAGUUUGUUGAAGUUGGAGCUUUCCGCGGGUCAUUUGGGUUCCUCGAUCUUUAAAUAGGUAACGAAAUACAUCUAGCCGGAAAUCUAUAGUUAAAUUACAGGAUUUUACAGUACCUAAAUUUAAACUACAUUGAAUGGACAGAACAAAUCUUCUUGUUGCGUCGCUUAUAAGCUCGGUAUG